rnacentral:rRNA from 1 species
GUUUCAGCAGCCGCGGUAAUGCGUAGGGUGCAAGCGUUAAUCGGAAUUACUGGGCGUAAAGCGUGCGCAGGCGGUUAUGCAAGACAGAGGUGAAAUCCCCGGGCUCAACCUGGGAACUGCCUUUGUGACUGCAUGGCUAGAGUACGGUAGAGGGGGAUGGAAUUCCGCGUGUAGCAGUGAAAUGCGUAGAUAUGCGGAGGAACACCGAUGGCGAAGGCAAUCCCCUGGACCUGUACUGACGCUCAUGCACGAAAGCGUGGGAAGCAAACAGGAUUAGAUACCCUGGUAGUCCACGCCCUAAACGAUGUCAACUGGUUGUUGGGAGGGUUUCUUCUCAGUAACGUAGCUAACGCGUGAAGUUGACCGCCUGGGGAGUACGGCCGCAAGGUUGAAACUCAAAGGAAUUGACGGGGACCCGCACAAGCGGUGGAUGAUGUGGUUUAAUUCGAUGCAACGCGAAAAACCUUACCUACCCUUGACAUGCCAGGAAUCCUGAAGAGAUUUGGGAGUGCUCGAAAGAGAGCCUGGACACAGGUGCUGCAUGGCCGUCGUCAGCUCGUGUCGUGAGAUGUUGGGUUAAGUCCCGCAACGAGCGCAACCCUUGUCAUUAGUUGCUACGAAAGGGCACUCUAAUGAGACUGCCGGUGACAAACCGGAGGAAGGUGGGGAUGACGUCAGGUCAUCAUGGCCCUUAUGGGUAGGGCUACACACGUCAUACAAUGGCCGGGACAGAGGGCUGCCAACCCGCGAGGGGGAGCUAAUCCCAGAAACCCGGUCGUAGUCCGGAUCGUAGUCUGCAACUCGACUGCGUGAAGUCGGAAUCGCUAGUAAUCGCGGAUCAGCUUGCCGCGGUGAAUACGUUCCCGGGUCUUGUACACACCGCCCGUCAAAC